rfam:Ictidomys tridecemlineatus contig035405, whole genome shotgun sequence.
AGGGUUGUAGCUCAGUGGUAGAGCGCUUGCCUAGUAUGCGUGAGGCCCUGGGUUCGAUCCCUGGCACCACAU